UUUUUCUGGCAGAAAUACCUCAUGAUUCUCUCUCAUUGAUAGCAUCUUUGAAGUCUCCAGCUACAGAACUGGUUUCUCCUCAUCUUAAUGUGUCUUUUAAGGCAUAUCACUCAAUGCAUCAAUUGGUUUAAGAGACAUUAUAUCACUAGGGCUUCUUAACAUUCUUGAAAUCAACCUUACUUCGUGGUAUAAAAUUUCUCUUAUACAGUAUUGGGCUGAAUUGGCUAAUAUUUUAUUUUCAGGUUGAUAUUAACAUAUGAGAUUGAUAUCUUGUAGCUUUUCAUAUAAAGCCUUAUUCAAUUUGAUCUCAAAGUUAUGCUUCAUCAAAUUAACAAGAGAUAUUUCAUCUUUUGCUCUGCUCUAGAGCAGACUGUCGAGCAGUGGGGAUUUGAGCACCUUGGUCACACAGCCCUCUAGAGGCAGUAUUCACUUAUCAAGUGUUUUACCAGCCAUUGCUUCCCUUUUCUUUUUUCCUAUAUUUUUUCUUGAAUAAAUUUCAGAAAUUUAUAUUUUCAGAGAAUAUUAUCCAUUUAACGAAGAGUUUCCAAUUUAUUAGUCUAGAGUUAAGGGCAGCAGUUUUUUUGUGUAACAGUCCCACUGUGGUCAGCUUUGCAGGCCAUAUGGUCUCUGUCACGACUCUUCAACUCAGUAGUUACAGCAUAAAAGCAAUGAUGGAUAUGAACAUACCUGUGUUCCAAUAAACUUUAUUUCUAAACAACAGGGAGUAGACAGGGUUUGUACCUUGGGCCACAGUUUGGUAACACCUGGCCUAGAGUAAUUUAUAUUAGAUUUUAUAUUAAAAAUAUAUUCCAAAUACGUUUUCUUAUUUCUCACUUUUUAUAUUUUUAGAAAUAAAUUAAAAUUUCCAUUUUUAUUUUUGUGUAUAUUCAGCAGUUAAAUUGUUUCGGUAAUCCUUUAUGCUUAGAUGGUUGUAAUGCUAAUCUUAAAUGUUCCCAUGCAUUCGUUAUUCCUGGUUGGCUGCAGUAUAUACUUAAGCCUUUGUUUCUUUCUUUGGUAAGGAAGAAAAUGAUGACAACCUUCUGAUUUUUGCUCAACUGAGAACUCUUUCUUGCCUUCACAAAAGCAAAAUGUUUUAUUUCUCUAGGCAAUGCCUAUGUGGCAUUAUUUGUGAUCUCUAUCUAUAUGAAAUUUACUCCACUGCACCCAGUUUAGAGUGACAGGCAAAAAAGUAAAACACAAAAUCCACAGCUUCCAAGCUGAUGGACCUCCACCUUCUUCAGGCCAGGACCAUGUCUGCUGAUGCUUUCAGCAUUUUCUCAAGUGCUCCCACCACUGCUUGAUACUUCGUAGGUGCUCUAAAAAUGACUUGUUGAAAUAAUGUCAAAUAAAUAAGUCCUGGAAAAAAUAAAUACCUUUGACAUUAAUUUGCACACCAGGUCAGCCCUUUGCUCAUACAGGCCAAUGAGAAGGAAAUCUCUGCAGAACUCCCCUUUUCAUCUCUGCACCAGAUUCUCUGAUUUUGGUGGAUUUACCUGCCAGGCUUCCCUUUUCUCAAGAUCUGUAGUCACCUGCUUUGCACUAUCACAUAACAAGUCUAGACUACUGAGGUCUCUGCCUCCUGCUGGAUUAUGGAUAAGUCCCUGUAUAUGGUUUUAAUUACCUAUUGCUGUGUAACAAACAGCCACAAAACCUCAGCAGCAUACCACAAAAAGUACUUACUUAGCUUUUGAAUUCACAUGUUGGUUGCUCUAGGCUGGGGUCUAGAUUGCCUCUGCUUGACAUGCCAGGGCCAGCAGAUGGCUCUGGAUGUGUCCUGCCCCUGAUGAAGGCAGAAGUUGAGAAGAAUCACAGAAGGCCUCUUAGGGUCUAACCCCAGAACUGCCAUAUCAGAACUACUGCCUUGAGUAGUUGCCUAUGAGCGUGUCAAGCACAGGCAUACUCCAAGCCAGGAAGCAGAGUGGUUUGUUCUGCCUGUGAAGGGAGCGGGCCAGAGAGGGGAACUACAAUGUUAAAUGGAAAAGGUGGGGGUACUGAGAGGUGAAGAAUUCGAGCCCCAAGUGGAAUCUAUUACACACUGACCUUCUCCUGUCCACAUCCCCUGAUGUCCAUGCUGCCUCCUACUUCCUUCAUCGUAAUUUCAAAGGGAGCUCACAAGACAUGACCUGACUUGAGCCCCAGACCUUCCUCCUCCAAGUUAGGCAUUGUUAACAGGGUUUGCUGUGAUCCUAUCCUCUUUCAUCCUGGAGACACUGCUUAGAGUUGGCAGAUUAGUGCAGGCAGAGUUUGCCUGUUGCAUUGCCCUUAUCUCAACCUAGUUCUUUCUACAGAUUUUCUGAGAAAAACACAAAAUUCCUUACCUGCUCCUGGGCCCCUGAACUCUCAAGCUCAAAAAGUGGUUUCCCAGAAUUCUUUAAAGGGGUUAAAAUGACAAAACCCAUAUAGGACCCAUUAUGGUGUCAGUGUUUUUCUCUAACCUCGGUGUUACCAUUCAAGCUCUCUCUCAAAUCAUACAGCAACAGCUCCUCUCUCUCUGGGGAAGUUUAGCCAGUACACCACUAAUUCUAAACUCUGCUGUAAUUCUUGAGCCUCCCUGUGUCCCAAACAUUCUUCUCUCUCUCCUUACACAGCCACUCCGCACCCUCCCAAAACACACACACCAAAUCUCUUAACACAAAGCCUACUUGUUCUUCAGGGCUCUGCUUGCAUGUUACCAAGUCCCACUCCUUCUUCCCAGUGUUCAGAGGGCCUGGGAGCAUAAAGCGAUUACUUCUUAAUUCUUCAAGGAACUGUGGGAAUUAACUAACCCACUAUUUUUCAAAGAAUGGAUACUUUUGGCGGGCUAUGAGGUAUUUCAUGGAACACAUGGAGGAACUGUUUUAAUUACAGUAGCUACAUAUUAAAUAUGUUAAGAACAAAGUUCUUAUCUAUAGCCAGUCCUACUCAUCUAUGGUUUCUAUAAAAUUAUUGCUUAGGAUAAGGCUAAAUUUCAAAGCUGAUUUGACUUAAAGUCAAGUAAAAUUAAAGGUAUUUUGGAAUUCCCCUGUGGUGAGGUGGGUUAACGAUCUGGCAUUAUCACUGCAGUGGGUUGCUGCUGUGGUUCAGGUUCAACCUCUGACCCAUGAAGUCUCACAUGCCAUGGGUACAGCCAGAAAAACAAAAAAGGUAAUUUAGCACCCGACUAUGAUAAAAAAUUUUGAAGGUGAUAUGCCAAUAACUUAAUGUAACAUCAAAGAUCACUGAUCACGAAUCACCAUAACAAAUAUAAUAAUAAUUUAAAAAUUUGAAAUUAUCCUUAUUAUCCUCAGUAAUUUGCGAGGAUUACCAAAAUGUGACACAAUGGGAGCAAAUGCUAUUGGAAAAAAUGGCGCUAACAGACUCGCUUGACACAGGGCUGCCAU
rnacentral:lncRNA from 1 species